AUUGAACGCUGGCGGCAUGCCUUACACAUGCAAGUCGAACGGCAGCACGGGCUUCGGUCUGGUGGCGAGUGGCGAACGGGUGAGUAAUGUAUCGGAACGUACCUUUCAGUGGGGGAUAACGUAGCGAAAGUUACGCUAAUACCGCAUAUUCUGUUAGCAGGAAAGCAGGGGAUCGCAAGACCUUGCGCUGAUUGAGCGGCCGAUAUCAGAUUAGCUAGUUGGUGGGGUAAAGGCCUACCAAGGCGAAGAUCUGUAGGGGGUCUGAGAGGAUGAUCCGCCACACUGGAACUGAGACACGGUCCAGACUCCUACGGGAGGCAGCAGUGGGGAAUUUUGGACAAUGGGGGCAACCCUGAUCCAGCCAUGCCGCGUGAGUGAAGAAGGCCUUCGGGUUGUAAAGCUCUUUCGGCCGGGAAGAAAUCGCAUGGGUUAAUACCCUGUGUGGAUGACGGUACCGGAAUAAGAAGCACCGGCUAACUACGUGCCAGCAGCCGCCGUAAUAC
rnacentral:rRNA from 1 species